UGUAAAGAAUUAUCAUCGCAGAGAGAAACGAUGCGACCCUGUCGUCAAAUAUCGCGAUAUGUAUUUUCAUAUAAUAUUUAUGGAAAAAGAUGGAAAAAAAGAAAAAGAAAAAGAAAGAAAGAAAAACAAAAGAAAAGAAAAAGAGAAAAGAAAUGAUCGAUCCAAUCAAACAACAUAAUAAAUUGUUAGAAUAAAAUCAUGAACUGUUUCAUUAUCUUAUCAGACACAAGAUUCGCUCAAGAAAUUAUCAAGAUAACCGAUUGUAAGUAUUAGUACCGUCCUCGGUAUUGUGCAAACACUGUGAGAAUACGUUCUCGAUCGAUCUUAAAAAUGAGAAGCAAAUCUAGCGUUGGUCGUUCUAGGAAAUCUAAAUAAAUACACCUAUCCCCGGUUAUCUCGUUUUUUUUUUUUAUGUCUUUUUUUUUCCUUUUUUUUUUUAGACAUCUCACGAGAAACGCGAGUACAAAGAUAUACGAAGAAAUAUAAAAGACAUUGAGAAAAAGUCGUACUUUCGUUCUAUUAUUAUUAUUAUUGUUAUUAUUAUUAUUACUUUUAUUAUUAUCAUUAACAAUAACACCAACUUUCUAUUAUUCUAUGAAGCCUGUAACAUUCAAAUUCACAAUGAAAUUUCAUUAGAUUAUUUUAAUCGUCAUUCCAUUAUAACGAGUUUAUCUUUAUUAUAACGGAGUUCUAAAAAUAAAUUUUACUUAGAAAAAGAAGCUUUUUGCAAUUAACUUAUGAAUACGUUUAAGAGUAUUAUGUUACGAAAUGAAACACGUACGAAUGUGCAUAAGCGAAUAUGUCGUGUAUUUACCUGUGAUUAUGCAACUUACAAACUGGCGCCCUAUAUACAAGAUAUCUUAUUACAUACAUUCGCACUGUGUGCGCGACUUUUGAAACUUUGACUUUAGUUUCGCUGAGUUCUCGAUGAAAGAUCCAUAAUCUUACGUUGGGUGAAGAAGAGUUGUUCAACGCGAAGAAUCAUUGCCAAUGAUUCGCGUGAAUCAUACUAUAUCUUUCUACUACUAAAGAGAAGGAAAAAGAAACAAAACAAAA